rnacentral:pre_miRNA from 1 species
ACAACAUUCGGACCGUCGGUCUACCGAGCAAUAUCACCCGCUUGGUGAAAGAUCUUUCCUUUCGUCGU